UACAGAGGGUGCAAGCGUUAAUCGGAAUUACUGGGCGUAAAGCGCGCGUAGGUGGUUUGUUAAGUUGGAUGUGAAAUCCCCGGGCUCAACCUAGGAACUGCAUUCAAAACUGACAAGCUAGAGUAUGGUAGAGGGUGGUGGAAUUUCCUGUGUAGCGGUGAAAUGCGUAGAUAUAGGAAGGAACACCAGUGGCGAAGGCGACCACCUGGACUGAUACUGACACUGAGGUGCGAAAGCGUGGGGAGCAAACAGG
rnacentral:rRNA from 1 species